GGUUGACCUCGGAUCAGGUAGGGAUACCCGCUGAACUUAAGCAUAUCAAUAAGCGGAGGAAAAGAAACCAACAGGGAUUGCCCCAGUAACGGCGAGUGAAGCGGCAAGAGCUCAAAUUUGAAGCUG
rnacentral:rRNA from 1 species